rnacentral:rRNA from 1 species
GGCGAACGCUGGCGGCGUGCUUAACACAUGCAAGUCGAACGGAAAGGCCCUGCUUUUGUGGGGUGCUCGAGUGGCGAACGGGUGAGUAACACGUGAGUAACCUGCCCUUGACUUUGGGAUAACUUCAGGAAACUGGGGCUAAUACCGGAUAGGAGCUCCUGCUGCAUGGUGGGGGUUGGAAAGUUUCGGCGGUUGGGGAUGGACUCGCGGCUUAUCAGCUUGUUGGUGGGGUAGUGGCUUACCAAGGCUUUGACGGGUAGCCGGCCUGAGAGGGUGACCGGCCACAUUGGGACUGAGAUACGGCCCAGACUCCUACGGGAGGCAGCAGUGGGGAAUAUUGCACAAUGGGCGGAAGCCUGAUGCAGCAACACCGCGUGCGGGAUGACGGCCUUCGGGUUGUAAACCGCUUUCGCCUGUGACGAAGCGUGAGUGACGGUAAUGGGUAAAGAAGCACCGGCUAACUACGUG